UCGAGACAUGCUGGCUCUCAGUGAAGCUUAGACGGAAAACCACGCACCCCACACAGAGGUUGGAACCACCCACUGCCCGGUUGUCCUGAGGAGCCAUGAUUUCUCCAGGAGCUGGGUAAAGGGUACCGGGAUCAGCCUCUCAAAGGAUUCCAGCCGGCUGUUCCAAUCCAGGAGGAAAACUGUGCCACUGAAGUCUCCCAGCACCUGGGCAGUGAAGUGCCACUUAACCCCGCUGUGAUACACAGACCUUGCCCUGGCUGUCUGCACAGGGCUGAAUUUCACCCCUUCCGAGUGUAUUCUAAGGGCCCCCCGUGCAUCAUAUGGGCAUUCUUGGGGGCGCAGAUUGCAUCAGACCUGCACCUGAAUAAAUAAUAGGGACUGAAAUAUGCAGGCACUAAAGUUCUGCAGCCAAAUUCUCAGGAAC